UAUUGCUUGGAUGUAAGUUUUAUUUGACUAAACAAGUUUGUUGAGCAUGUUUUUUCUCAUGCUUCUAAUAUUUGGAAUUUCCUUUUUUGAAUUAACAUGCAGGCCUUGUAUUUAAACUGCCCACAACUCAAUGAUCUUAAUCUAAAUUCUUGUAGAAAUUUGCAUCCAGGUAGUCAUUUUACGCCAUGCUCUAUUGCCAUUAUCAGCCAGAAAUUUGAUGCAACAUUACAGAUCAUCCAGUAUUGUGCAGUUGAGCUAGCAUGUAUUAGAGGGGCAGCAAAGAAGCACUUAUGCCUAAAUUGACAUUUUUAACAAUAUGAACACAUGAACAGAUGUAUGGCCUAGGCUUUGUGAGCACUGGUGGACUUGGAUAAAGCACUGAUGGAAGAUCCAAUCUAUGAGGAAAAUUCUGGCAAAGGGAUGUGGAAGAAUCAAUCAGA